rnacentral:lncRNA from 1 species
ACCAAUGCAUUUUGUUUGUUAGAAACAAUAGUAUAUGAACAAGCUCAAUGUUUAUUUCUUAUAUUAGUAAGUAGUGAAACAAAUGAAUAAUAAUAGUUGUUAGUUACAGUAACAAUAGAUAUGCCUACUUACUUUUAUGCAACAAAUGUAUAAAAAAAAGGCAUUCUUUUAGGUGUAAGAGGCAAAACGAAAUAUAUUUGUCAUUUCUUUAUUGGUAAUUUUUUAUGAUAAAUAAAUGUAAACUCACAUAAUUAACAAAUGAAUAAAAUAUGUGUAAUGUAAUAUAUGAGUAUGUAUGUUAUUGCAAGUAUACUCAAAAUAAUAAUGCCCUGCCUCCUCUCCUAUUUGUGAGAGACUAAUGUAAUAUAAGAUUUAAUUCAGUGCAUAUGUGAAUGUGUAAAUAACCAAUUAGGAAAUGAAUGAGUGUUGUUGGUGACAUGCAUAUUAAAAACCAUUUCAUGAAAUAAAAAGUAUAUAUGAUGAUCAUUAAGCAAAAGAAAUAGAGUUAUUAACAUAUCAAGUUGAGUGUUGUUGUGUUGGUGAAGUGAAGUCCAAGUGGAGUGAAAAUAAGCAAGAGGAUAAUUUGUAUGGUGGGAGAGAACUAUGGAUAUAUUGUUGAAAUGGAAGUGGUGGUGUUGUGGUGUUAAUGAAAGAGUUAGAACAACCAAAGGAAAAUGUUAUACAUUGUGUAAGCCAAGUUUAUGUAUGGUGGGAGAGAACUAUGGAUAUAUUGUUGAAAUGGUAGUGGUGGUGGUG